AUUGAACGCUGGCGGCAUGCUUUACACAUGCAAGUCGAACGGCAGCGCGGGCUUCGGCCUGGCGGCGAGUGGCGAACGGGUGAGUAAUACAUCGGAACGUGCCCAGUAGUGGGGGAUAGCUCGGCGAAAGCCGGAUUAAUACCGCAUACGACCUGAGGGUGAAAGCGGGGGAUCUUCGGACCUCUCGCUCUUUGAGCGGCCGAUGGCAGAUUAGCUAGUUGGUGGGGUAAAGGCCUACCAAGGCGACGAUCUGUAGCUGGUCUGAGAGGACGACCAGCCACACUGGGACUGAGACACGGCCCAGACUCCUACGGGAGGCAGCAGUGGGGAAUUUUGGACAAUGGGCGAAAGCCUGAUCCAGCAAUGCCGCGUGUGUGAUGAAGGCCUUCGGGUUGUAAAGCACUUUUGGCGGGAACGAAAAGGACUGUGCCAAUACCACGGUUCGAUGACGGUACCCGCAGAAUAAGCACCGGCUAACUACGUG
rnacentral:rRNA from 1 species